GCCGCCAUAGCUCAGUCGGUUAGGUCGUGGGUCUGAUAAGCCCAAGAUCGCAGGUUCGAAACCUGCUGGCGGCA